GCUUGUAAGGGCGAUCUGACUGCAACAUCCGUCACCCUAUUGAUUGUCAAAGUUGAUUCAGCUGAUCUGGCUGGCCAGGUGAGUGUCCUCUUCCUCCCUCUCUGCUCCAUGUGCAUCCCUCCUGAAGCUGCAUGCUUGGUCAAAGAGGAUGACCUUCCCUGAUAGGGAGGACUGGACCGUUCUUCAGUCAAAGGUAUACGAGUAGCUGUACUCCCCUGCUAGAACCUUCAAAGAAGCUCUCAAGAUCAACAGGUGCAAAAAUAUAGUUAGAUAGAACCGUAUUCGAUAGCACGACAAAGUAACUAUAACCAAUGAUAAGUU
rnacentral:snRNA from 1 species